rnacentral:misc_RNA from 1 species
UUUGCUUGCGCAACAACUUCCAUCCUUCAUUCCUCUUCAGUCGUUUGUUAAGGCUUUGUUUCCUUGGCAGACCGUUGGGUUUCCUGUGUUGUCUACCUACACUAUGGUAUUGUAUUGGUUGAUCGUUGAUAUUUUUCGUCCUCUAUCAUUCUUGAUAAAGGAUGAACCUCGAAGCCGUCUCUUUGUUCCACAUUGUCGAUGCAUGCGUUGAUGUUGUGGCCCAUUGAGUGCUGCUUGGUUUCAUGGACACAGAACAUGAUGUGGGCAUGGGGUUAAUCCUUGUUUUGUCCUCCAAUAGCGUUGCGCUACUCCUUUAAUGACCUUCCUUAUUUCGUGACCGUAUAUCGGGCGAGUCUGGUCUGUUAUUUUACGAGGAAACGUAACGUGCAUUCCUCUAAGCGACUACCUUCUCCCGUAAGGCUUCGAUCUGCGGGGUAGGUAUUGUCAAUUAUGAAUGCUACCUGGUUGAUCCU